UGCCGCAGCCCAGAAGCCGCCCGAAUGAAAAAAAGACCCCGGCUCGACCCCAGUUGUCCCGAACCUCCCCCGAACCGAUCCUCCAGCCCCCCGUCGCCGCGCCGUGAUGCAACCCCAGGCCCCGGUCGCCGCGCCCCAAGGGCCUCGCCGCCGCGCCGCGAUGCCACCUCUGCUGCGACCCUAGGGCCCGGCCGCCGCGCCGCCAGGCCACCUCCGCCGUGCCGCCAGGCCCCAGCCGCCGCACUACCAGGCCACCUCCGCCGCGCCGCCAACCUUCCUUGGCUGCGCUGUCAGGCCCUACGUCGCCGCCGCACUACUCCAGCCAGCGUCCCACCGUGCCACGCUGCUCCAGCCGGCCUUCCACCGCGUUGUGCUUCCCCAGCCCGCGUCGCAAUGCGACGCUGCCCCAGGCCGUUCACGGCCGCUACCCCAGUCUGUUCACCACUGCCAACCAAGGCCGUUCAAUGAUGGGUCGGUCAACAAAAGCAAUGGUCAGAACUCAAAAGCUUUCCUCUCGUUUCCUUCCGCCUCUGUAGUUUUCCUUUUUGAUUUUGGGGACUGAGUGAGUGCAUUUUACCAAGGCAUUCCAUGUGCUGAUGGGUAUGCUUGCUUAGCACAAAAUUCAUGAACUGUCAAUUUAUUUUGAAUUGAACUGGUGCUGCUCUUAGAUUCAGACCUGAGGGAAGAAGACGGAGCUAAAAUGAUUCAGUUCAUCAUUGGCACCCUAUAACCCAAACAGUGAAGAACACACCCCUUGUACUUUUGCUCUUGUUCCUUCUGUCUCCUGAAUUCCACUCUUGAUGAGCAUGCUUGGUACUAGAUAGAUACUGCUGUCGUAGUUCUAAUACAAUAUAUUACAACAAUUCAUUGACAAAAAAUUGUCAAUUCAUAUAUGUAUGCAGCGGCUGUUCUGAUACUACUUCAGUAACCAGAAAAACACAAAAGUUCAACUAUACUUAUACAAAAUAGUUUAAUAUUUUAUUCUAUGACACUCAAGAAAAACAGAAAUAAAAGAGGUUCAUCAUGUGAUGAACAAUAGUCCCAACAAGUGUGCUAGAGAUGCAAAAAAAUUGAUGGCAUAGUCGAUGCUAUUUUUCAUCCAAUUUCUGAAGAAAACUAAAGUUGAUCAGAGUAACUGAAGAAUAAUCUAUUAGUUCUCGAGUAUGUGUAAUGAUGCCAUUUUACUGUGCAUUUGUUUCCAUCGCGAUGGAUGUAUUCCAAGAUAUGGUUGUAUCAUUGUGUUGAAUAAAAAUACCAUGUUGCUGCAACAUUUUCUGUCAGCUCCUGUCAAGCAAUACAUGUAUGUGAGCAUCCUUCUAUGUAGUAAGUUCAUAGUCGAGAAGUCAGGAACUUCGGAAAAAGAACGUGAACAUAAAAAAACCAUAAAAACCUGAACCUUAUCUUAGGGGAGUUCAAGAAGUCCGUGUCUAGCCGUCUGUGGUGUGUAUUCUUAUCAGUUCAUAGUCGAGAAGACAUGUAUUCUUAUCAGUUUAUUUUUCUAGCUGGCAGUUUUGUGUAUUUGGUUAGUUUGUGUGUGUAUAUGUUGCCAUCGUGGUAUACGAGAGACCACCCCACGAGAAAGUCGCCGAUCUGGUCGAGGCAUGCUCCUGUUCUCUGUUUUCAGUUGCACAAACAUUUAAAAGUUCGAACACCAAACCCUGGUAAGUUCUCCUUACAAAAACUCAUCUCUCAUAUUUGUUCCUAUUUUUGUAGGUUCCAGUUAAAACAAGAUGCAUAAGUUCAUCAUUUGUAUGCUUUUUAGUUCAUCUACUUCCCGAUGGUGAGUCUGAUUUCCUUCGUGUUUCCAUUUUCUUCAUAUAGCACAAACAAGUACUUGUGGUUAUGCUUGAGAAUGAGCACCAUACCGUUCACCGCCGCCACACCGGGUCGUUCAACGACACAACCCGAAGUAGUUCGACGUCGCAGCUCGGGAGGCACACACUUCACCCCUCCAUCCCAGGAGAGCAGUACAUCUUGUGCGCGAGCAGUCCGUUGCUGAUGUACACUGCUGCUCUAAGCUCCUUGGCCACUACUCCAGUAUGUCCAGCAUCGUCCCCAGUCCAGCCCCAUGGCAUUCGGACGGUCGAGUUCAUGCCGAGCAGCAGUCCACGCCCAUCAGCUCCUAUUUCCACUAUAGUGGUUGGGUUGCCGUUUUCCUCAUCCUUCUCGGUGCGCGACAACCCAGCCCACAUGUUGCUGCCGUCCGCCACCCCAAAUAGCUUUGGCUGUUCCUCAAGCAACCAUUUGGAGAACCUUUUGGUGUUUUUCUACUGGUGAUUGAUUUUAGCAAUUUGUAGCUAUCUGCGUAUGGAAUCUGAAAGUUCAAGAUUGCUGCAGAUUCAAUUCUUGUAGUACAAAUGUCCCAGAGUUUAGUGACAUCUGUAAUUGAGGUACUAUGGUCUUGCAUCUCCAAUGUAUGUUGCUGAGCAUCCUCCCAAUCCGCUCGAUCAACUUCUUAUUCCACCUCCAAAAAAAAUUCUUUUUGAGUUCUAUCCUUCGUCACAGGUUCACCGCUAUUACCUCAGUGCAAACGUGCCAAAGAGUUUAGUUCAGACUAUACUAAAUGUCCAUAUUAUAGAUAAUAUUUGCAUUGUCUUAAAUUUCUGGAAACAAGCUUCAGUACAAGAAAAAUGGGCCAGUUAGUUCAUCCAUAUCCAAACCCCCGUCGACGUGCGGCGGCAGGAAACAUUUUCAGGUUGUUUUCUUUCUCUCUUUGCUUAGCACAAAAUUGCGCAAAUGCCUAGCAGAAAAAGAACUUGUUCGUAUACAUAGGUAGGUUCACGAAAUAUUGUAGUAGUACUUCGGUGAAAGGAUUCACAUCAGUUCAAUCAUUUUUGAAUGUUCAGUAAAAGUUCAAAUAGAGCAGAGGCUUUCACCUCAUUCGAAAAAGCCUAAAAAGCAACAGUACAAUGAUAGAAAAAAAUCAGUUCAAAAAAAUAUGUUGGAGGUUUGUCAGAAUGGCAGAAAAACAUCAGUUCAAUUUUUCUGUACCAUCGCUUCUAUUGCUAAAUGUUUUAGUCACUUGUUUUCUUGAUGCCAUCAGGUAUUUCCUUAAAUAGUUCGGUCUUGUGCAGCUGGUACUAGUGUGAAUGGGUAGCAAGUUCAACUACCAAUCCACACCAAGUUCAGACCUCUUUUUGGAAUUGGGCCUGCCCCAUGAUCCGGCGUCGCCCUCCGCUGCCUCAGCACGCAGGCUGUUCACCUUCACCACCCCUGGCCGUUCACCACCACCACCAGCGCCCGUUCAAUGCCGCCCCAACAAACCAGUGCGACUUUGUCUCUCUCAACUUAAAAAGCGGUUCAGCUCAGUGCAUGUCAGACAUUAAAGCAAUAUUCUGUAGUAGCUUCAAAAAAUGCAAAUGGUCAUGUUUCCACAAGACUGACGGAACACUGCCAAUUGAACUGAGCACUAGCGGAACUGUGAAGCACUGACGAAACACUACCAAUUGAAUUGAACGUUGACCACGUCUCCACCCUCCCCACGCCCGCCAAUGCUGCGACCACCCCUCCCCCUCACGAUUUCUUGUUGAUAUCGCUGUAUUCAUGCUUGUUACGUGAGUUGCCUGAUGGAAGUUCUGCAACUGUCAGUCCAGAUGGAAGAAGGAGAUCCGUCCAAAGUGUGAGUUUUGCGACGUCGACGUGCAAGUUCUACAAUUAUCUGUCCAGAUGGGAGAAGGAGAUCAAUCCAACCAACGCAUCUGAAGCGACAUAUGCAGAGCCAUUCGCCUGAGAGCCAAAUCCUGGCGCGCCCAGCCGCUGCUCGUGAACCCCGCCUCCAUCAGCUCCACUUCACUGGAGCCGUCAGUCCACAGGAAUAGGGGUAGCGGAUCCCCUAUAGCGGUCAAAUCCCGGUGCGCCCAGCCGCUGCUUGUGAACCUCGCCUCCAUCAGCUCCACUUCACCAGAGCCGUCAGUCCGCAGGAGUAGGGGUAGCAGGUUCACCCAACGUCCGACGCCUUCUUCCAUCUCCAAAAAUCUUGUUUUUUGAGUUCAGUUCUUCGUCACAUGUUUCACUAGCUGAAAAAUGCAUGGUGUUCUGAAAUUGCUUGCGGACCACUAGCUGAAAUUGCUUGACGAACAAAAGCAAAGGGCCCAAACCCACUGUCGUGCAAGAAAAAGAAAGCAAAGCCCCAACCAUCAGCUGCUCAAUCAUCAGAACUAAUAGUAAGAUGGAGAAGAGAUAAUGCAACAAAAAUCUUAGAUGGGGCAGUGAAGUCCAUUGCGCAUUCUGAUUUUUUGUAGCUCCGGACAUCAGUUGUAUUGAGACAUGGAUGGCUCUACACCUGAAGUACAUAUAUCUGACAAGCAUGAUCACAUGUUCCCUUUAGAGUCUGAUGGUCGAUGGAGAGGCGAAGCGAAAGACGGUUAGGAAGCGCAAGAGAAGUGGCAAAGACAGUAGGUCCAUGUGUAUUUAACAGCAAGUCCAUGUAUUACUACAUGAGAAGUACUGCUAGUGAGACUUCACUGCCCCAUUUCAACAAACUUGUAUACGCAAUCCUAGUUUGACAAAGUACUCUACUGCCGCUGGUUUCAGUUCCCUCACUGGAUUUGCAGGCUCACGACCAUCCUCCAACAUCCCGUCAGUGCCACUGAUUUGAAGGACCUCGGUGAGCGUGUACUUCUCCUGCACGAGAGAGGUUUGGACAGACGCUGAUCACUAGCUCUCUAUGACGCCGCCGAUCACUAGAACGAAGAACACAAGCAGGAUGAGAAUGAAGUACAUGACAUAGACAAUGAGGACGACCAAAACAUGGAAUCCGUACACAUAGCACCAACUGCAAAUUCGAACUUUCUGUCUAUGAUGAUUUGAUUGCUACUUCUUAAAGAAAGUGUACAUAACAGUUAGAUGUUUGUGCUAGAAAGGAAAACUUGUUUGAAUUAAAAACAUUGACCAGUACGAAUCAAAAACAUUGAUCA